UACCUGCAGCUCAAGUGGUGGCCGCUAUUAUUGGGCCUAAAACGUUCGUAGCCGGUUUGGUAAAUGCCUGGGUAAAUCGUGUAGCUUAACUAUACGAAUUCCGGGUAGACUGCUAAACUUGAGACCGGGAGAAGCUAGAGGUACUCCUGGGGUAGAGGUGAAAUUCUGUAAUCCUGGGGGGACCACCAGUGGCGAAGGCGUCUAGCUAGAACGGGUUUGACGGUGAGGAACGAAGCCCUGGGGCGCAAACCGGAUUAGAUACCCGGGUAGUCCAGGGUGUAAACGCUGCUUGCUUGAUGUUAGUUGGGCUCCGAGCCCAAUUAGUGUCGGAGAGAAGUUGUUAAGCAAGCUGCCUGGGAAUACGAUCGCAAGAUUGAAACUUAAAGGAAUUGGCGGGGGAGCACAGCAACGGGUGGAGCGUGCGGUUU
rnacentral:rRNA from 1 species